UGGGGGAUAUUGCACAAUGGGCGAAAGCCUGAUGCAGCGACGCCGCGUGGGGGAUGAAGGCCUUCGGGUUGUAAACUUCUUUUGCUCUGAACAAGGCAUGCCUUUGGGGUGUGGUGAGUGUAGGGGUUGAUUAGCGCCGGCUAACUACGUGCCAGCAGCCGCGGUAAUACGUAGGGCGCGAGCGUUGUCCGGAAUUAUUGGGCGUAAAGGGCUUGUAGGUGGCUGGCUGCGUCUGUCGUGAAAACUCAUGGCUUAACUGUGGGUUUGCGGUGGGUACGGGCUGGCGUGAGUGCAGUAGGGGAGGCUGGAAUUCCUGGUGUAGCGGUGGAAUGCGCAGAUAUCAGGAGGAAUACCGGUGGCGAAGGCGGGUUGCUGGGCUGUUACUGACGCUGAGGAGCGAAAGCGUGGGGAGCGAACAGG
rnacentral:rRNA from 1 species